rnacentral:lncRNA from 1 species
AAGAAGCUAUCCCACUUUCAAAUCAGGUGAUCCCAGUUUUCAUGUUUGGGAAUAUGACAACUUCUUUGUCAUUCUUAUCAAACCAGGAUGAAUCGCGACGUAAGAAGCUUGAUUUUGAUACAUAAAGUAGUGGAGAAUCACCAGGAAGUUGAAUAAAUAUCAUAGGAGUUAGGAUGAAGAAGCUAUCCCACUUUCAAAUCAGGUGAUCCCAGUUUUCUUGUUUGGGAAUAUGACAACUUCUUGGUCAUUCUAAUCUUCCUGUUUGGGAAUAUGACAACUUCUUGGUCAUUCUAAUCAAACCAGGAUGAAUCGCGA